UACGUAGGGUGCAAGCGUUAAUCGGAAUUACUGGGCGUAAAGCGUGCGCAGGCGGUGAUGUAAGUCAGAUGUGAAAUCCCCGGGCUCAACCUGGGAACUGCAUUUGUGGCUGCAUCGCUGGAGUGCGGCAGAGGGGGAUGGAAUUCCGCGUGUAGCAGUGAAAUGCGUAGAUAUGCGGAGGAACACCGAUGGCGAAGGCAAUCCCCUGGGCCUGCACUGACGCUCAUGCACGAAAGCGUGGGGAGCAAACAGG
rnacentral:rRNA from 1 species